CUCAUGGAGACUUCGAUCCUUGCUCAAGAUGAACGCUGGCAGCAUGCUUAAACAUGCAAGUCACAAGGGAAACACGGUAAAUGGUGUUUCCACUAGCAGACGAGUGUGUAACGCGUAAGAACCUGCCCUUGGGAGGGGAACAACAGCUGGAAACGACUACUAAUACCCCGUAGGCUGAGAAGCAAAAGGAGGAAUCCGCCCGAGGAGGGUCUCACUUCUGAUUAGCUAGUUGGUGAGGCAAUAAGUUACCAAGGCGAUGUUCAGUAGCUGGUCCGAGAGGAUGAUCAGUCACACUGGGAUUGAGACACCACCCAUACUUCCACAGGAGGGAGUAGUGGGGAAUUUAAUGCAAUGGACAAAAGCCAGACGGAGCAAUGCCACGUGGAGGUAGAAGACCCACGAGUCAUGAACUUAUUUUACCAGAGAAGAAGCAAUGACAGUAUCUGGGUAAUAAGCAUCAGCUAAUCUUGUGCCAGCAGUCGCGGUAAUAUAGAGGAUGCAAGCGUUAUCCGGAAUGACUGGGCGCAAAGCAUAUGUAGGUGGAUUUUUUUAGUACGACAUCAAAUCCCAGGGCUCAACCAUGGACAGGCGGUGGAAACUACAAAGCUGGUGUACGGUAGGGGCAGAGGGAAUUCUGGGUGGAGUAGUGAAAUGCGUAGAGAUCGAAAAGAACACAAAUGACGAAAGCACUCUGCUGGGCCAACACUGAAAAUGAGAGACAAAAAUUAGGAGAGCUAAUGGAAUCAGAUAUCCAAGUAGUCCUAGCUGUAAACAAUGGAUACUAUGCAUUGUGCGUCUCGACCCAUUCAGUUGUAGCUUACACGUUAAGCAUCCCGCCUGGGGAGUACGUUCGCGAGCAUGAAACUCAAAGGAAUUGACGGGGGCCUGCACAAGUGGUAGAGCAUGUGGUUUAAUUUGAUGCAAAAGAAAGAACCUUAUCAAAUCUUGACAUUCCGCGAAUCCUCUUGAAAGAGAGGGGUUCUUUCGGGAACGCGGACAAAUGUGGUGCAUUACUUUUGUUAGCUCAUGCCGUAAGGUGUUGGGAUAAGUCCCUCAAUGAGUGCAACCCUUGUGUUUAUUUGCCAUCAUUGAUUUUGGAACCAUAAAUAGACUGCCGGUGAUAAGCCGGAGGAACGUGAUGAUGAUGUCAAGUCAUCAUGCCCCUUAUGCCCUGGGCGACAUAUGUGCUACAAUGGCCGGGACAAAGAGUCGCAAUCCCGCAAGGGUUAUCAAACCCCAAAAACCCAGACUCAGUUCGGAAUGCAUGCUGAAACUUUCAUGCAUGAAGACGGAAUCGCUAGUACUCAUCGGUCAGCCAUACGGCCGUUUAUUCAUUCCCAGGCCUUGUACACAUCGUCCGUCAUACUAUGGGAGCUGUCCAUGCCCAAAUUCGUUACCUUAACCACAAGGAGGGGGAUGCCAAUGGAAGGUCUGGUGACUCGAGUGAAGUCGUUACAAGGUAGUCGUACUAGAAGGUGCGGUUAGAUCACCUCUUUU
rnacentral:rRNA from 1 species